UUCUCCCAACUUUGGUUACCACUCACGACUAAUAAACCAUCUGCAGGAAGCCCCUGGAAGACCAUGCGGAAAUCCUGCAUCUUGUGAUGUUUCCCCAGGACUUAGCCGUGGUUGGUUUCUGCCUUGACCCGUCUUUACUGUGAUGGCUGUAAGUGGUGCUUGUGCAGCUCCCAUGCAGACUUGGCCACCUGCUGGGAGCAGACCGCCCCCCACCGACCCCUUCUUCCUGGACUCCUGUGUCUUCAUUCACCGCUGUCCUAGUGUCUCAUUCAUCACUGUCCUCGAGGAUUUUGUGCUCAAAUUCUCCUAGAUUUCAUUAGUGGGAGCCCACCAGGCCACUUCCCAGCUCCUUCCCUCUUUCGUUCCCACCUCCUUCCCUCUUUCGUUCCCCACCUUCCUUUCUCUUCCUGCUAUCCUCUGCCUCAUUUAAAGAAACCGUUUCCUAACUUUUCCAUAUAAUGUUUCACACCCAUCUUGUACCUAACCUACCCAGCCCUGGAGUCCACCAGAUGUUUGAAGGGCUCUAGUUUUUGUAGUGUGAAAAUGUUACCAAGGAACAAUAUCUGGGUACAAGGUAGGCUUAUUGCUGUCGAGUGUCUUUGCUUCUAACCCUGUUAGCGGUCAGAGCUGGGAAAUACGUGCAUGUACACAUACACACCUCUGUGUAAGCAUACAUGCAUGUAAGUAUGUGUGUGUGUGUGUAUAUAUAUAUGCACAUAUACAUGCAUAUAUGUGCAUGUAUAAAACAGACAAGUCCCACAAUGUCCUUUCUCUCCCUGUUAUCCCCACCCCUUGUACGUGACAGUGAUGUUCUAAGGUGGUCUCUCACCAGCUCCUGGAGCUACUUCUGCAGAUCUCUUCCCAGCUCUGUGUUUAGUGACAUCAUGCGCAUCCCUGGAGUCGCUCUGUACCAGGGUGGAGUGAUCGUCCUCAUUCUUCCUUUUGCUUCCUCUGCUGCCCAGUGCUGCGUCCUCGUCUGGGUUUCAUGAUGGUGGGAUGAUGACGUAGUUUACGAUAUUUUGCAGUUACACCCAGGGCAGUGAUAUUUUUAUCUGUGGCAUCCUCUUGUAAUCUCAGCAUUUUGGGAGGCUGAAGAUGAGAGGGUUGCUUGAGGCCAGGAGUUCGAGACAAACCUAGGCAACAUAGCAACCCUGUCUCUCCAAAAAAAAAAAAAAAAAAA
rnacentral:sRNA from 1 species